rnacentral:lncRNA from 1 species
GGCAGUCCAGCCGCAGGGGCCACCCGAACAGUCUCUCCUCCUCACAGAAGCCUGGAGCUGGGCAUCCAAGAAGAAGCAGCCUCAUUUGUUUUCUGGUGUCAUCGUAGGUGGCCACCUAUGGCUUUUGGGCUUCUCACCUGGGGCGGGUGGGUUCUGCACCACCCUCCCACCCUCCUUCCUCCGUGUGGACGAUAGAGCCACAUCCAGCACCACGGACAGCUCCCGGGCGCACUGGAAGCUGAGGGUUUUGACAGCGGCAGGCCACAUAGGCAAGGAAGCUGGUGCAUGCAGUGUCUCUGGGCAAGGUUAUGCAAACCAAAAAGAAGAAUGUACUUCAUCUGGUUGGGCUGGAUUCCCUCUGAUAAGCCUUCCCAGUUGACUGAAAGAUGAGGCUAGGCUCUAGCAAGUUGAAGUCAAACCAGCUCCUUCAAGAAGCUUUGAGCAGAAUGAAGUGGGGAGGACCCAGCUUCCAGCCCAGGAAGCCCACUGUACCUGGAGCCAUCUGGGAUAAGACUUUGACCCAUGACUCCCAUAUCCACAGCCUGUCCAUCCUAGCCCAUCCCAGUUUAUCCUGUAUCAUUUGAGCUGGGAUUCCCACAUCCUCUGAGUUGGAAGUCCCAUCUCAAGUCUUCAAUAAAGACUCUUGAAUAUUGAAUCACA